AUACGUAGGGGGCGAGGGUUGUCCGGAAUGAUUGGGCGUAAAGGGCGCGUAGGCGGCCGGGUAAGUCUGGGGUGAAAGUCCUGUUUUUAGGAGGGGAAUUGCUUGGAUUACUGUCGGGUUUGGGUGCAGGAGAGGUAGGGGGAAUUCCCAGUGUAGGGGUGAAAUGCGUAGAGAUUGGCAGGAACACCAGUGGCGAAGGCGACUUACUGGACUGUAACUGACGCUGAGGCGCGAAAGUGUGGGGAGCAAACAGGAUUAGAUACCCUGGUAGUCCACACUGUAAACGAUGAAUGCUAGGUGUAGGGGGUAUCGACCCCUUCUGUGCCGCAGUCAACACAAUAAGCAUUCCGCCUGGGGAGUACGGCCGCAAGGUUGAAACUCAAAGGAAUUGACGGGG
rnacentral:rRNA from 1 species